rnacentral:rRNA from 1 species
GACGAACGCUGGCGGCGUGCUUAACACAUGCAAGUCGAACGGAAAGGCCCUGCUUUUGUGGGGUGCUCGAGUGGCGAACGGGUGAGUAACACGUGAGUAACCUGCCCUUGACUUUGGGAUAACUUCAGGAAACUGGGGCUAAUACCGGAUAGGAGCUCCUGCUGCAUGGUGGGGGUUGGAAAGUUUCGGCGGUUGGGGAUGGACUCGCGGCUUAUCAGCUUGUUGGUGGGGUAGUGGCUCACCAAGGCUUUGACGGGUAGCCGGCCUGAGAGGGUGACCGGCCACAUUGGGACUGAGAUACGGCCCAGACUCCUACGGGAGGCAGCAGUGGGGAAUAUUGCACAAUGGGCGGAAGCCUAAUGCAGCAACGCCGCGUGCGGGAUGACGGCCUUCGGGUUGUAAACCGCUUUCGCCUGUGACGAAGCGUGAGUGACGGUAAUGGGUAAAGAAGCACCGGCUAACUACGUG